rnacentral:rRNA from 1 species
UACGGACGGUGCAAGCGUUGUUCGGAAUGACUGGGCGUAAAGCGCACGUAGGCGGACUCGUAAGUCGAAGGUGAAAACCCCGGGCUCAACCCGGGAACUGCCUGCGAAACUGUGAGCCUUGAAUGCUCGAGAGGUCAGUGGAAUUCCUGGUGUAGGAGUGAGAUCCGUAGAUAUCAGGAGGAACAUCAGCGGCGAAGGCGGCUGGCUGGCGAUGCAUUGACGCUGAGGUGCGAAAGCGUGGGGAGCAAACAGG